CCUACGGGAGGCAGCAGUGAGGAAUAUUGGUCAAUGGACGGAAGUCUGAACCAGCCAUGCCGCGUGCAGGAAGACGGCUCUAUGAGUUGUAAACUGCUUUUGUACAAGGGUAAACCUGAAUAGGUGUAUUCAGCUGAAAGUACUGUACGAAUAAGGAUGGGCUAACGCCUUGCCAGCAGCCGCGGGAAUACGGAGGAUCGAAGCGUUAUCAGGAUUUAUUGGGGUUAAAGGGUGCGUAGGCGGAUUGUUAAGUUAGAGGGGAAAUGCCCGGGCUUAACUCGGGAACUGCCUCUAAUACUGUUGAUCUAGAGAGUAGAUGCGGUAGGCGGAAUGUAUGGUGUAGCGGUGAAAUGCUUAGAGAUCAUACAGAACACCGAUUGCGAAGGCAGCUAACCAAUCUAUAUCUGACGUUGAGGCACGAAAGCGUGGGGAGCAAACAGGAUUAGAUACCCUAGUAGUC
rnacentral:rRNA from 1 species